rnacentral:rRNA from 1 species
CCUACGUGCGGCUGCAGUGAGGAAUAUUGGUCAAUGGACGAGAGUCUGAACCAGCCACGUAGCGUGAAUGAUGACUGCCCUAUGGGCUGUAAACUUCUUUUAUAUUGGAAUAAAAUGUUCCACGUACGGGAUUUUGUAUGUACCAUAUGAAUUAGGCUCGGCUAACUCCGUUCCAGUAGCCGCGGUAAUACGGAGGAUCGGAGCGUUAUCCGGAUUUAUUGGGUUUAAAGGGAGCGUAGGUGGAUUGUUAAGUCAGUUGUGAAAGUUUGCGGUUAAACCGUAAAAUUGCAGUUGAAACUGGCAAUGUUGAGUACAGUAGAGGUGGGCGGAAUUCGAGGUGUAGCGGUGAAAUGCUUAGAUAUCACGAAGAACUCCGAUUGCGAAGGCAGCUCACUGGACUGCAACUGACACUGAGGCUCGAAAGUAUGGGUAUCAAACAGGAUUAGAUACCCUUGUAGUC